CAGGACCGACCCGGAAGUCGACGGUGUUUCCGGCCUUUGACCCGGACGACGCAGGUUCAGACUGGUCCGCGAAGUCUCGGCUGUCUUUGCGCCCUCAUAGCUCUCGCAGCCAACGGCAGUCUCCACCUUCUGACGGUGGGGUAUAGACCACCUAAUUCUCAUUACAAGCAGUGCCUGAGGCACAUUUGGCACAGUCAAAAGAAAGUGAAGAGAUUCAGAAUGGAAGCAAGCUACUGAGACACUGCAGAAUGCUCCAAAAUCCAGCGAUGGAGUGGAGAUGGAACAACAGACCCAGGUCCUUCCUCUGCUGGAGGUUCUGGGACAGCCAGUAGCACUCUGCAAAUGAAGACUCAUGGCUACUUGGCUUUCAACUGAGGUUCAUCUGUGUUGUUACGUGAGGAAAAUGAGGAGAUGUCAGUCAAAGGGUACUAACUUCCAGUUAUAAUGAAUAAGUUCUGGGAAUCUAAUGGACAGCAUGGAGACUAUAGUUAAUGAUAUUGUAUUGUUUACUUGAAAUUUGCUAAAUGAGUAAACCUUAU